rnacentral:rRNA from 1 species
GACGAACGCUGGCGGCGUGCCUAAUACAUGCAAGUCGAGCGGGCGGAUGGGAGCUUGCUCCCAGACCGUCAGCGGCGGACGGGUGAGUAACACGUGGGCAACCUGCCUGUAAGACUGGGAUAACUCCGGGAAACCGGGGCUAAUACCGGAUAACUCUUUCCCUCACAUGAGGGAAAGCUGAAAGAUGGCAUCUCGCUAUCACUUACAGAUGGGCCCGCGGCGCAUUAGCUAGUUGGUGAGGUAACGGCUCACCAAGGCGACGAUGCGUAGCCGAUCUGAGAGGGUGAUCGGCCACACUGGGACUGAGACACGGCCCAGACUCCUACGGGAGGCAGCAGUAGGGAAUCUUCCGCAACGGACGAAAGUCUGACGGAGCAACGCCGCGUGAGUGAUGAAGGUUUUCGGAUCGUAAAACUCUGUUGUCAGGGAAGAACAAGUACCGGAGUAACUGCCGGUACCUUGACGGUACCUGACCAGAAAGCCACGGCUAACUACGUG